AGCGGGGGAUCUUCGGACCUCUCGCUAUUGGAUGAGCCCGCGUCGGAUUAGCUAGUUGGUCGGGUAAAGGCCUACCAAGGCGACGAUCCGUAACUGGUCUGAGAGGAUGAUCAGUCACACUGGAACUGAGACACGGUCCAGACUCCUACGGGAGGCAGCAGUGGGGAAUAUUGGACAAUGGGGGCAACCCUGAUCCAGCAAUGCCGCGUGUGUGAAGAAGGCCUGCGGGUUGUAAAGCACUUUAAGCGGGGAAGAAAGGUGGGGUGUUAAUACCAUCUCACAUUGACGUUACCUGCAGAAUAAGCACCGGCUAACUCCGUGCCAGCAGCCGCGGUAAUACGGAGGGUGCGAGCGUUAAUCGGAAUUACUGGGCGUAAAGCGCGCGUAGGCGGUUUGAUAAGUUGGAUGUGAAAGCCCCGGGCUCAACCUGGGAAUUGCAUCCAAAACUGUCUGACUAGAGUACGGUAGAGGGUGGUGGAAUUUCCUGUGUAGCGGUGAAAUGCGUAGAUAUAGGAAGGAACAUCAGUGGCGAAGGCGACCACCUGGACUGACACUGACGCUGAGGUGCGAAAGCG
rnacentral:rRNA from 1 species